UACGGGGGGGGCAAGCGUUGUUCGGAAUUACUGGGCGUAAAGGGCUCGUAGGCGGCCAACUAAGUCAGACGUGAAAUCCCCAGGCUCAACCUGGGAACUGCGUCUGAUACUGGAUGGCUUGAAUCCGGGAGAGGGAUGCAGAAUUCCAGGUGUAGCGGUGAAAUGCGUAGAUAUCAGGAGGAACACCGGUGGCGAAGGCGGCUUGCUGGGCCUUACCUGACGCUGAGGAGCGAAAGCGUGGGGAGCGAACAGG
rnacentral:rRNA from 1 species